rnacentral:ncRNA from 1 species
ACCGAUUGAAUGGUUUAGUGAGGUCCUCCGAUUGGACCCGGUCCGGGCGGCGACGUCCGAGCCCGUCGUCCGAGAAGACGAUCUAACUUGAUCAUUUAGAGGAAGUAAAAGUCGUAACAAGGUUUCCGUAGGUGAACCUGCGGAAGGAUCAUUA